rnacentral:rRNA from 1 species
UACGUAGGAUGCAAGCGUUGUUCGGAAUUACUGGGCGUAAAGAGUACGUAGGCGGUUUGAUAAGUCUGAUAUUAAAGACUGGGGCUUAACCUCAGGAAUGUAUCGGAGACUGUCAGACUAGAGGACAAUAGAGGAAGUCGGAAUUCUCAGUGUAGCGGUGAAAUGCGUAGAUAUUGGGAAGAACACCAGUGGCGAAAGCGGAACUUCUGGGUUG